UUGAAAGGGAAACGAUUGAAGUCAGUCGUACCGACGGGAAUUCAACUUCUUUAAGUGCUUGUCGUGGGUGACCGUUGAGCUUCGCGGCCUUCGUUGCUUUGCGUUAUGGUACUUUUAGGGUGUACUUUUCCGUAUGGUAGGUCAACAUCGAUUUUGAUCGUCAUAAAAUGAUCGGAGGAAUGUGGCUUCGAUCUCGUAUCGGAGUGUUAUAGCCUUUGGUAGAUGUGACGAUUGGGAUCGAGGAUUGCAACGAAUACCCUUUUGGGCUAUCCGUCUGACCUCUGAAAGUCGCUCGGGUGUCGAAAGCGUGCUUAUGACAUUCUAGUUGGCGGUCAAAAGGUUAGAACGCGAUUACAUUCGUUAAGGAUGUUGACGUAAGUC
rnacentral:rRNA from 1 species